UUGAGCAUUUCGUUCUAGCCUAAUUGGAGUGCCAGGUGGUCGAGGUUUGCAGUUUUGGGACUAUUCUAUUGUUCCAUUAAGCCAGGCAAGCUCAAUCAAACACAGAAAAAGUAUUUGAAGUGAUUUCAAAUCAGGGGUUGGAACCGGUUCAGGGAACAGAACCAAAAAAUGGAAAAUACAUUUUUCAAGGAACAGAACCAGAACCGAGAAUGAAAGUGAUCUAUAUCGUUCUGGAGCAGAAACAUUAUUUUAAAAGCAUGGGAACAGGUAAAUACUGUUCCUUUUUUUACAGUCUCACAAAAAAACACAACAAAGCGCCUAUGCAAAGCCCUCACUGUCACUCAGAAACUUAUUCCAGUGUCUGCCUGCCUGCCUGCCCAUGUGCCUGUUUGCUUGUGUGCCCAUCUGCCUGCCUACCUAUCUGUCUGUCUGUCUGCCUGCCUGUCUGUCUGUCCAUCUGUCUGUCUGCCUGCCAGCAGAACAUCUUUGCCAGUGUGUGUGUGUGUGUGUGUGUGUGUGUGUGUGUGUGUGUGCUACUUGCCCCUCCCCCUCCCUCCGAAACGUGCAUAGUCUACUGUAGCUACUGACGUUACAGGCAUGAUUCAGAAAUUAAGGAGAUAUUUUUAAUUAGAGAACAACAAUGGACUAACUUUUUCAAUGCUAAUUAAGGAUACUAUAGUUAUCACAUUUUGCAUUGGAUAUAUUAGCUACAAAAAGGUAAGAUGUGUUUUUAUUUUCAUUCUGGUGCCGCUUUGCACGCACAAGCUUGUUAGCUUGUGUGUGCAAAGACUCUAGGCGGCAUUAUGUGUAAUGUAAUGGAACUGAGAGUCAUGAUGAAUGGCUACCACUGGUCCAAAGUUAGUUAAGCCAACUCUCUGAAGUUCAAAGACAUUUAAAGUUCCUUCAUAGAAGCCGCUCUUCUUUAGGUAUAAUUAUGUGGGCCUAAUUCAGAUAAUGCAUGUUCUGAACCUGUUCAGAACUUUGACACAAUACCUGUUAGCAAAG
rnacentral:lncRNA from 1 species